AUGGAUUUAAACCUUCUGAACUGGAAUGUUAGGGGCCUGAACAACCCGGCACGUCGUCGUGCCAUUCAGAACUUAUGCAAUACCUGGAAAUGUAACAUUGUGUGCCUACAAGAGACCAAGAUCGCUGAUAUGUCGAGAAGUCUGGUGGUGGAGACUUUGGGACCUAGAUUUGGGGAUAAUUUCCUGUUCAAAGGGGCUGAUGGCACACGAGGCGGCAUCCUGAUCGCUUGUAGUCCUGACUUCACAAUUCCGCCCUUGUCGGCUGCGCCAGAUUCCUUCUCACUGUCUGCCACUGUGACUGAUAAAAUGGAUGGCUCCUCAUGGACGUUGACUGUUGUAUAUGGGCCACAAGAGGAUCAAGACAAGAUUGCAUUUCUGCAGGAGAUCCGCAACAUCAAGCUUUUGGCGCAGAAUGAAUGGCUAAUUGCCGGGGACUUCAAUUUGAUCGCGAGAGCAAAUGAGAAGAACAACUCCAAUGUCAACAUUUGGAUGAUGGGACGGUUUAGAAGCGUCAUCGAGGAUCUUGAACUCCGAGAGUUUCAGCUAAUUGGCAAGAAAUUUACUUGGUCCAGUGACAAUAGCCACCACACCUGCUCCAAGCUUGACCGCAUCCUCAUGUCUCGUGACUGGGAACUCAAGUUCCCCCAGUACCAUUUAUGCCUGCCUCCACGGCCAUUUCGGACCACAUCCCAUUGCUGCUCAAGAAGAUGGUGA
rnacentral:rRNA from 1 species